AACGCACAUUGCGCCCCUUGGUAUUCCAUGGGGCAUGCCUGUUCGAGCGUCAUUUGUACCCUCAAGCUCUGCUUGGUGUUGGGUGUUUGUCCCGCUUUUCGCGUGGACUCGCCUUAAAACAAUUGGCAGCCGGCAUAUUGGCCUGGAGCGCAGCACAAUUUGCGCCUCUUGUCAUGAUUGUUGGCAUCCAUCAAGACCAUUUUUUGCUCUUGACCUCGGAUCAGGUAGGGAUACCCGCUGAACUUAA
rnacentral:misc_RNA from 2 species